AGUGAACGCUGGCGGUAGGCCUAACACAUGCAAGUCGAACGGCAGCACAGAGGAGCUUGCUCCUUGGGUGGCGAGUGGCGGACGGGUGAGGAAUACAUCGGAAUCUACUCUGUCGUGGGGGAUAACGUAGGGAAACUUACGCUAAUACCGCAUACGACCUACGGGUGAAAGCAGGGGACCUUCGGGCCUUGCGCGAUUGAAUGAGCCGAUGUCGGAUUAGCUAGUUGUCGGGGUAAAGGCCCACCAAGGCGACGAUCCGUAGCUGGUCUGGGAGGAUGAUCAGCCACACUGGAACUGAGACACGGUCCAGACUCCUACGGGAGGCAGCAGUGGGGAAUAUUGGACAAUGGGCGCAAGCCUGAUCCAGCCAUACCGCGUGGGUGAAGAAGGCCUUCGGGUUGUAAAGCCCUUUUGUUGGGAAAGAAAUCCAGCUGGCUAAUACCCGGUUGGGAUGACGGUACCCAAAGAAUAAGCACCGGCUAACUUCGUGCCAGCCGCCGCAGUAA
rnacentral:rRNA from 1 species